CGGCGAACGGGUGAGUAACGCGUGGAUUAUCUGCCCUGAGGUGGGGGAUAACCCGGGGAAACUCGGGCUAAUACCGCAUAUGACCGUGAGGUCAAAGGGGGUCGCAAGAUCUCUCGCCAUAGGAGGAGUCCGCGUCCGAUUAGCUAGUUGGUAGGGUAAUGGCCUACCAAGGCGACGAUCGGUAGCCGGCCUGAGAGGGUGAUCGGCCACACUGGAACUGAGACACGGUCCAG
rnacentral:rRNA from 1 species